UACGUAGGGGGCAAGCGUUAAUCGGAAUUACUGGGCGUAAAGCGUGCGCAGGCGGUUGUGCAAGACAGAUGUGAAAUCCCCGGGCUCAACCUGGGAACUGCAUUUGUGACUGCACGGCUAGAGUGUGUCAGAGGGGGGUAGAAUUCCACGUGUAGCAGUGAAAUGCGUAGAUAUGUGGAGGAAUACCGAUGGCGAAGGCAGCCCCCUGGGAUAACACUGACGCUCAUGCACGAAAGCGUGGGGAGCAAACAGG
rnacentral:rRNA from 1 species